UACGUAGGGAGCGAGCGUUGUCCGGAUUCAUUGGGCGUAAAGAGCUCGUAGGCGGUCUGUCGCGUCGGCUGUGAAAUCCCGAGGCUCAACCUCGGGUCUGCAGUCGAUACGGGCAAACUUGAGUGUUGCAGGGGAGACUGGAAUUCCUGGUGUAGCGGUGAAAUGCGCAGAUAUCAGGAGGAACACCGGUGGCGAAGGCGGGUCUCUGGGCAACAACUGACGCUGAGGAGCGAAAGCGUGGGGAGCGAACAGG
rnacentral:rRNA from 1 species